rnacentral:rRNA from 1 species
GCAGCAGUUUCGAAUCAUUCACAAUGGGCGAAAGCCUGAUGGUGCGACGCCGCGUGAGGGAUGACGGUCUUCGGAUUGUAAACCUCUGUCACCAGGGAAGAAACGUAGUCCGUUAAUAGCGGACUGCCUGACUUAACCUGGAGAGGAAGCAGUGGCUAACUCUGUGCCAGCAGCCGCGGUAAUACAGAGACUGCAAGCGUUAUUCGGAUUCACUGGGCGUAAAGGGUGCGCAGGCGGUCGUGUGUGUUAGAUGUGAAAGCCCGAGGCUCAACCUCGGAAUUGCGUUUAAAACUACACGACUAGAGCAUUGGAGAGGGAAGCGGAAUUCAUGGUGUAGCAGUGAAAUGCGUAGAUAUCAUGAGGAACACCAGAGGCGAAGGCGGCUUCCUGGACAAUUGCUGACGCUCAGGCACGAAAGCGUGGGUAGCGAAAGGGAUUAGAUACCCCUGUAGUCCACGCCCUAAACGGUGCACACUAGGUCUUGGAGGAUUCGACCCCUUCAGGGCCUCAGCUAACGCGUUAAGUGUGCCGCCUGAGGACUACGGUCGCAAGACUAAAACUCAAAGGAAUUGACGGGGGCCCGCACAAGCGGUGGAGCAUGUGGCUUAAUUCGAUGCAACGCGAAGAACCUUACCUGGCCUUGACAUGCAUCUCUAAGCGUGUGAAAGCACGUGACCCUUCGGGGAAUUUGCACAGGUGCUGCAUGGCUGUCGUCAGCUCGUGUCGUGAGAUGUUGGGUUAAGUCCCGCAACGAGCGCAACCCUUGUGUCCUGUUGCCACUUCCGCUAACGCGGAAAGCACUCUGGACAGACUGCCUCGUCUCAACGAGGAGGAAGGUGGGGAUGACGUCAAGUCAGUAUGGCCCUUACGGCCAGGGCUGCACACGUACUACAAUGCCUGGUACAAUGGGAAGCAAUACCGUGAGGUGGAGCAAAUCCUCAAAACCAGGCCCAGUUCAGAUUGUAGUCUGCAACUCGACUACAUGAAGUCGGAAUCGCUAGUA